rnacentral:lncRNA from 1 species
CUCCCACCAACGAGGAAUCAUUGCAUGCACCAGGUGCAGGUGAACCAGGAUAAAUCUCAGAGCAUGUGCACGGUGGAGAGCGCACAAUUGGAAAUCGGUGAAAUACAAGGGUAGCGUGGCGUGUCAUCCACCGUGGAAUUUGUGUGGUCCAAUUGCACCUGGUGCAUGCAAUACGGAGGCCCCACGAACCCCGCCACGUCCGGUUUAGCUCUGGCAGCUACCCCCAUUCCAC